rnacentral:lncRNA from 1 species
GCUGUUCAAACUCAUAAAUCCAUGGACAAAAAACAAAAUCGGGUAACAAACUAAAACUGAGGGAAACGCAUAAAUAUAAGAGGAGAAGAACGACACAACACUACAAUGUAACUAACACACACAGAAACGGACCAAGCAUCAGACAAAAUCCCACGAGAAUAACAAAUAUAACAUCAAAACCAAAUACAUGAAUUUGAGAUAGACAAGUACCGUGACACGUCUUAUCGCAAUGUCAAUUUACACUCAAAGAUAAGAGAAAACAAACGACGCAACGUUAAAUUGUAACACACACAGAAACGAACUAUAAUAUAACAAUGGCCAUAUUCCUGACUUGGUACAGGACAUUUUUAAAGGAAAAAUGGUGGGUUGAACCUGGUUUUGUGGCAUGCCAAACCUCGC